rnacentral:rRNA from 1 species
UACAGAGGUCUUACCUACGUUCGGAUUCGAUUGGUGCGUAAAGGGUGCGUAGGCGGUCGCGCAAGUCGGAUGUGAAAUCUCAGGGCUCAACCCUGAAACUGCAUUCGAUACUGCGUGGCUAGAGUACUGGAGAGGAGACUGGAAUUUACGGUGUAGCAGUGAAAUGCGUAGAUAUCGUAAGGAAGGCCAGUGGCGAAGGCGAGUUCCUGGACAGUUACUGACGCUGAGGCACGAAGGCCAGGGGAGCAAACGGG